UAGGGAAUCUUCCGCAAUGGACGCAAGUCUGACGGAGCAACGCCGCGUGAGUGAAGAAGGAUUUCGGUUCGUAAAACUCUGUUGUUAGAGAAGAACAGCGCAUAGAGUAACUGUUAUGCGUGUGACGGUAUCUAACCAGAAAGCCACGGCUAACUACGUGCCAGCAGCCGCGGUAAUACGUAGGUGGCAAGCGUUGUCCGGAUUUAUUGGGCGUAAAGCGAGCGCAGGCGGUCAAUUAAGUCUGAUGUGAAAGCCCCCGGCUCAACCGGGGAGGGUCAUUGGCAACUGGUUGACUUGAGUGCAGAAGAGGAGAGUGGAAUUCCAUGUGUAGCGGUGAAAUGCGUAGAUAUAUGGAGGAACACCAGUGGCGAAGGCGACUCUCUGGUCUGUAACUGACGCUGAGGCUCGAAAGCGUGGGUAGCAAACAGG
rnacentral:rRNA from 1 species